AGAGUUUGAUCCUGGCUCAGGAUGAACGCUAGCGGCAGGCUUAACACAUGCAAGUCGAGGGGCAGCGCGAGUAGCAAUACUUGGCGGCGACCGGCGCAAGGGUGCCGGCGCACGGGUGCGUAACGCGUAUGUAAUCCACCAUUAACCGGGGAAUAGCCCAGAGAAAUCUGGAUUAAUGCCCCAUAGUAUUAUCGAAAGGCAUCUUUUGAUAAUUAAAGCUCAGGCGGUUUUUGAUGAACAUGCGUGACAUUAGCUGGAUGGUAGGGUAACGGCCUACCAUAGCUAUGAUGUCUAGGGGUUCUGAGAGGAAGAUCCCCCACACUGGUACUGAGACACGGACCAGACUCCUACGGGAGGCAGCAGUGAGGAAUAUUGGUCAAUGGGCGCAAGCCUGAACCAGCCAUCCCGCGUGCAGGAUGACGGCCCUAUGGGUUGUAAACUGCUUUUAUACACCAAGAAAAAUCCGAACGUGUUCGGACCCGACGGUAGUGUAUGAAUAAGCAUCGGCUAACUCCGUGCCAGCAGCCGCGGUAAUACGGAGGAUGCAAGCGUUAUCCGGAUUCAUUGGGUUUAAAGGGUGCGUAGGCGGCUUUUUAAGUCAGUGGUGAAAUCUUGCCGCUUAACGGUAAAAUUGCCAUUGAUACUGAAGAGCUUGAGUACAGUUGAGGUAGGCGGAAUGUGUAGUGUAGCGGUGAAAUGCUUAGAUAUUACACAGAACACCAAUUGCGAAGGCAGCUUACUAAACUGUGACUGACGCUGAUGCACGAAAGCGUGGGGAGCGAACAGGAUUAGAUACCCUGGUAGUCCACGCCGUAAACGAUGCUCACUCGCUGUUUGCGAUACAUUGCCAGUGACUGAGCGAAAGCAUUAAGUGAGCCACCUGGGGAGUACGAUCGCAAGGUUGAAACUCAAAGGAAUUGACGGGGGCCCGCACAAGCGGAGGAACAUGUGGUUUAAUUCGAUGAUACGCGAGGAACCUUACCUGGGCUUAAAUGUAGGCUGCAUUCGGCUGAAAGGCUGAUUCCCUUCGGGGCUGCUUACAAGGUGCUGCAUGGUUAUCGUCAGCUCGUGUCGUGAGGUGUCGGGUUAAGUCCCAUAACGAGCGCAACCCCUAUCGUUAGUUGCUAACAGGUUAAGCUGAGGACUCUAACGAGACUGCCGCCGUAAGGUGUGAGGAAGGUGGGGAUGACGUCAAGUCAGCACGGCCCUUAUAUCCGGGGCUACACACGUGUUACAAUGGUCGAUACAAAGGGCAGCUACACGGCGACGUGAUGCGAAUCUCCAAAAGCGCCCUCAGUUCGGAUUGGAGUCUGCAACCCGACUCCAUGAAGUUGGAUUCGCUAGUAAUCGCGCAUCAGCCAUGGCGCGGUGAAUACGUUCCCGGGCCUUGUACACACCGCCCGUCAAGCCAUGGAAGCUGGGGGUACCUGAAGUCUGUAACCGCAAGGAACGGCCUAAGGUAAGACCGGUGACUGGGGCUAAGUCGUAACAAGGUAACC
rnacentral:rRNA from 1 species